rfam:Monodelphis domestica chromosome 2, whole genome shotgun sequence.
AAAAUGGAUUUACUAAAAUCCAAAUAUACUACCAAGAAAAUCCAU